rnacentral:rRNA from 1 species
CCUACGGGAGGCUGCAGUGGGGAAUAUUGGACAAUGGGCGAAAGCCUGAUCCAGCCAUGCCGCGUGUGUGAAGAAGGCCUUCGGGUUGUAAAGCACUUUCAGUGGGGAAGAAAGCCUUGGGGCUAAUACCCUCGAGGAAGGACAUCACCCACAGAAGAAGCACCGGCUAACUCCGUGCCAGCAGCCGCGGUAAUACGGAGGGUGCGAGCGUUAAUCGGAAUUACGGGGCGUAAAGCGCGCGUAGGCGGUCUGAUAAGCCGGUUGUGAAAGCCCCGGGCUCAACCUGGGAACGGCAUCCGGAACUGUCAGGCUAGAGUGCAGGAGAGGAAGGUAGAAUUCCCGGUGUAGCGGUGAAAUGCGUAGAGAUCGGGAGGAAUACCAGUGGCGAAGGCGGCCUUCUGGACUGACACUGACGCUGAGGUGCGAAAGCGUGGGUAGCAAACAGGAUUAGAUACCCGAGUAGUC